GAUCUAUUUAAAAGAAGAGGUUGAAUUCUUUUCCCUGGAAGAGAAGCUUGCUCGUCAUCUCUGUAAAUCUGACGCGCAUCACCUCCCUGUAACUUCUCCCUGGAAGAGAAGCUUGUAGUCGCAGAUCUCUGGGUUGCUAGCUUCUCUUCCAUUCUUGAAAUUUCUUUUUCUGUUUCAGAUCUGUUUAUCUAAAAGAAUGGGGUUGCUGCUUCAGCAUAUUUAUAGAGAGAGGAAUGAUGUAGCUGAUGGUUCGGCUACUUGGAGUCACAAUUUGGAUAUGGGUUGCUGCUUUUUUUAGUAGAGUCCUGCCUUUCUUGGAUAUCUGUUGCUUAAUUAUUUGUUGGGAGCUAUUAAGGCUCGUUUAAUUAGUGCUGGAGAGAAUAUAUAUUGUCUUCUUAAAGCAUUUGAUGAAAGGUUUCUUCCUACCUUGAAAAUGCUACUAUCCUAGUCGGCAUUUGAAAUGGCUACAUUUGAUGAUUAAGGCUGAUGAUAAGUUAAUUCAAGAAGAAGGUGUAGAAUCCCUUCCAGAAGAGGAGCUUCGGGAGGAUUGUAGGGAGCGCGGCAUGCUUAGUUUGCGUUCUGUGGAAGACAUGCGCCAACAGCUUCGUGAUUGGUUGGAUUUGUCUCUCAAUCACUCCAUGCCGUCUUCGCUUUUGAUCCUUUCCAGGGCCUUCAUUGUGUUUGGCAGGUUACGUCGUUGCCAUCUGAAGAUUCUAUAUCUGAAAGGAGGAGGAAAUUGGACUUCCUUCAGAUGCAGGAAUAACUGAUAAAGAGAUUCUAAAUUAUUAUAUUGCAGGAGGAGGAAGAGAGAGGAAGAAUAGCAAGCCAAUAUGAAGGAAAUUAAAGCCAGUGAAGAGGAUUUGGCAUUGAAAGAGAUGACUAUUCCAAUAGCAAAAGAAGCACAAGAACAAGCCAAGGCAAGGACAUUAGAAAAGGAAGAGAAGCUCUGCGAAAUAAGUCGUGCAUUGGCUGUUUUGGCUUCUGCAUCUUCAAUGAGUAGGGAUCGUGAAGAGUUCCUGAGACUUGUCAAUUUGGAGGUAAUUGAAAACCCUUAAUUACUCCUAGUUUAUAUUGGGUAUCUAUUAAGAUGUAAGCAUUUAUCGUCAGUACCCUUACCAUAGGUAUGCAUGGCAUGCUAGUCUUCUCAUGCUCGAUAUAUCCAGACACAUUGGAGGUUUAACUGCUUGCAGUUUAUCUGAAGGACCAUACAUCACAAAUAUUGUCUGCAGUUCUGAUUUCCAUGUUUUUGCUUGUAUUGUGCAUGUAUUGGAAGAAUUUGGAUGAUGUUGAUGUCCAUUAUGCUUUGGCCCCUUUUAGUUUGAAGGAUGUGUAGAUUGACGACUUUUUAACUUUUAAUGUGAUUUACUUAUGAGCUGUCUUCUA